UUGACUCUUGUCAGAUAGUGAGGGCAGAGCAGGAGCAGGCACGCGUUGGAGCCGCGGGCACCCAUGGAAACCCAUGAGCCUUCUCGUCAUCAUCUCGUCAACUGGGUUCAUGGAGGGCAGCAGCACGUCGUCUCCUGGAGCGAUAUCAUUAGUGGGAUAGGCCGUAGCCUUUUCAUCAAAUGCCUCCUACGGCUGUCCAGGUCAGACUAUGGUUCCGUGGCAUGCUUGAACCGCGACUUCAAUUCGCUGGUCCGCAGUGGGGAGAUCUACCGCUUGCGUCGCAACAACGGCAUAGCAGAGUGGGCGCUGGAUCCAAGUGCCCAAGAUACCACCUGACGAAUGCUUCAUGUGCUCUGACAAGGAGUCCCUUGCUGUCGGAACCGAGCUGUUGGUGUUUGGGAUGGCACACAUUGUGUACAGAUAUAGCAUCCUAACCAAUUCAUGGACAAGGGCUGAUCCGAUGAACUCGCCGCGGUGCCUGUUCGGAUCGACAAGUGUCGGUGAAAAGGCAUAUGUUGCGGGGGGCAGCGAUUCUUGUGGAAGAAUACUUAGCUCCGCGGAGAUGUAUGACUUGGAGACACAUACUUGGACACCCCUUCCUUGCAUGAAUAAGACUAGGAAGUUGUGUUCUGGCACAUUCAUGGACGGGAAGUUCUAUGUGAUUGGUGGUGUUACCAACAACAACAAGGUGUUGGCAUGUGGUGAGGAAUAUGACUUGGAGCGGCGGUCUUGGAGGGUCAUCGACAACAUGUCCGAGGGCCUCGAUGGAAUGGCCGGUGCUCCUCCACUCAUUGCCGCUGUCAACAAUCAGCUUUAUGCAGCUGAUUACAGUGACAAGGAUGUGAAGAGAUAUGACAAGCUGAAUAAUAGGUGGAUCACUCUUGGGAAAUUGCCUGAACAAUGCGUGUCAAACGAUUCUUGGGGCAUUGCUUUCAGAGCCUGUGGUGACCGGCUGAUUGUCAUUGGAGGUCCUAGGACUUAUACUGGUGGCACGAUUGAGAUUCAUUCAUGGAUCCCGGAUCAGCAACCACCUGGGUGGAAUUUGGUUGCUAAACGGUCAUCCAAGAGCUUCGUUUAUAACUUGGCCGUGAUGGGUUGCUGAGUCCGCUGAAUAAGGAUCGAAUGCCAUGGACAUUUAUGAAUAAAGAUUAUCCUCUGACCUUCUUGAAUAUUUGUGUUAUUAGCUUUAAUUCUGGUCGAGAUGCUAAUAAUAUUCGUGUUACUUUUUUUUUACUGCUUAUGUGUAAUGCGAUACAAGAUGGUCCUCUUGAUCUUGCUUGUUAGUGUUUCAGUUUUAAGUCGAUGGUCAACUUGUGCGUUUGAUUUC